rnacentral:rRNA from 1 species
AUUGAACGCUGGCGGAAUGCUUUACACAUGCAAGUCGAGCGGCAGCACGGGGGCAACCCUGGUGGCGAGCGGCGAACGGGUGAGUAAUACAUCGGAACAUGUUCAGUCGUGGGGGAUAACACUUCGAAAGAAGUGCUAAUACCGCAUACGUCCUGAGGGAGAAAGCGGGGGAUCUUCGGACCCCGCGCGAUUGGAGUGGCCGAUGUGAGAUUAGCUAGUUGGUGGGGUAAAGGCCUACCAAGGCAACGAUCUGUAGCUGGUCUGAGAGGAUGAUCAGCCACACUGGGACUGAGACACGGCCCAGACUCCUACGGGAGGCAGCAGUGGGGAAUUUUGGACAAUGGGGGCAACCCUGAUCCAGCCAUUCCGCGUGAGUGAAGAAGGCCUUCGGGUUGUAAAGCUCUUUCGGCAGGAACGAAACGGCGAGCUCUAACAUAGCUUGCUAAUGACGGUACCUGAAGAAGAAGCACCGGCUAACUACGUGCCAGCCGCCGCGGUAAAAC